rnacentral:rRNA from 1 species
UACGGAGGGAGCUAGCGUUGUUCGGAAAUACUGGGCGUAAAGCGCACGUAGGCGGCGCAGCAAGUCAGGGGUGAAAUCCCGGGGCUCAACCCCGGAACUGCCCUUGAAACUGCAGUGCUAGAAUCCUGGAGAGGCGAGUGGAAUUCCGAGUGUAGAGGUGAAAUUCGUAGAUAUUCGGAAGAACACCAGUGGCGAAGGCGACUCGCUGGACAGGUAUUGACGCUGAGGUGCGAAAGCGUUGGGAGCAAACAGG